rnacentral:rRNA from 1 species
GAAUUUGAUAUUAUUAUUAAAUUUAUUUAAGGAAGUAUGUUUUACUUUAAUAAUUAUAUUUUAUUGGGAGGAUAAUUAAAUAAGAUGAACUUUAAUUUAAAUAUAUAAUUUAACAUUAAUCAAUGAAAUUUAAUAAGGGAAUGAUUAUUAAAUUAGUAAAAAAAUUUUUAUAAUAAUUAUUAAAAAAAUUAAUUACCUUAGGGAUAACAGCGUAAUAUUUUUAGAAAGAUCAUAUUAAUAAAAAUGAUUGC